rnacentral:rRNA from 1 species
GACGAACGCUGGCGGCGUGCCUAAUACAUGCAAGUAGAACGCACAGUUUAUACCUUUGCUUGCUACACCAUAGACUGUGAGUUGCGAACGGGUGAGUAACGCGUAGGUAACCUGCCUGGUAGCGUGUGAUAACUAUUUGAAACGUUAGCUAAUACCGCAUAAUAUUUAUUAUUGCAUGUUAAUUUAUUUUAAGUUUCUAUUUCAUCCCUACCUUAUGUACCUUCGUUGUAUUAGCUAGUAGGUGAGGUAACGGCUCACCUAUGCGACGAUACAUAGCCGAACUGAGAGGGUGAUCGGCCAAACUGGGAAUGAGACAAGGCCAAGAAUCAUACGGGAGGCAGCAGUAGGGAAACAUCGGCAAUGGACGAAAGUCUGACCGAGCAAAGCCGCGUGAGUGAAGAAGGUUUUCGGAUCGUAAAGCUCUGUUGUAAGAGAAGAAAGGGUGUGAGAGUGGAAAGUUCACACUGUGACGGUAUCUUAACAGAAAGGGACGGCUAACUACGUG